GUGGCCUGUACCCACUUUGUAUGAAAAGGAAGUGAGAGAGUUUUUCUGCAACAUAGAGUUUACAAGGAUGGGAUUCUGAAUACCGAAGUGAAUGGAAUAACGAUUCACUUAAUUGAGGAAAUUCUAAAUAAUAUUCUGCAGGUUCCCAAGGAUGGAAUCGAGAGUGUUGCCAAAGGAUCUCCUUCAAAACACUUUGUUCAAGAAAUUGGCAGACUUCCCGGAUUGAGUUGUGCUGGCAUUCCAAAGAAAUUUGUCAAGGGAAGAU
rnacentral:misc_RNA from 1 species